UCUUACAGAUGAGCAAAGAAAGUGGUUUCUUGAGAUGGAAUCUAGUCAUGGUGAAGAUGCAGUGAA
rnacentral:pre_miRNA from 1 species